rnacentral:lncRNA from 1 species
UAUUAUUAUUCUCACAUGUUAUUGUUACUCUCAUUGUUAUCGUCGAUAUUGUCGUUGUAAUAAUUGUUGUUGUUGUUGUUGUUGUUGCUAUUGUCAUCAGCUUUGUUAUUGGAACUUUCCAUUUUAUUGCCAUUGACAAACACGUGUCAUCUUUUAUAUCCAUCCGUCCAGCCGCUCUGCCGCCUCCCCAACCCACCGCCAACUCAUGCUGUCACGCUAAAUAUUUCGCUUUUAUUAUUUACUUUUUCUUCAUAUGUGUAUCUCUGUGUAUGUACGUACGUACGUAUGUAUGUAUGUGUGUAUGAAUGCAUGUAUGCAUGUAUGUAUGGUUGAAUGUAUGGUUGUAUGUAUGUAUGUAUGUAUGUAUGUGUGUGUGUAUGAAUGUAUGCAUGUAUGUAUAUGUAUGUAUGUAUGUAUGUAUGUAUGUAUGUAUGUAUGUAUGUAUGUAUGUAUGUGUAUGUAUGUAUGUAUGUAUGUAUGUAUGUAUGUAUGUAUGUAUGUAUGUGUGUGUAUGAAUGUAUGGUUGUAUGUAUGUAUGUAUGUAUGUAUGUAUGUAUGUAUGUAUGUAUGUAUGUAUGUAUGUAUGUAUGUGUGUGUAUGAAUGUAUGCAUGUAUAUAUGUAUAUAAGUAGGUAUAUGUAUGUAUGUAUGUAUGUAUGUAUGCUUGUAUGUAUGUAUGUGUGUGUGUAUGAAUGUAUGUAUGUAUGUAUAUAAGUAUGUAUGUAUGUAUAUAUGCAUGCUUGUAUGUAUGUAUGUAUGUAUAUAAGUAUGUUUGUAUGUAUGUAUUUAUGUAUGUAUGUAUGUAUGUGCGUACGUAUGUAUGUAUGUAUGUAUGUAUGUAUAUUAGUAUGUUUGUAUGUAUGUAUGUAUUUAUGUAUUUAUGUAUGUAUGUACGUACGUAUGUAUGUAUAUAUGUAUGUAUGUUUGUAUGUAUGUAUGCAUAUAAGUAUGUAUGCAUGUAUGUAUGUAUGUGCGUAUGUAUGCCUGCAUAUGUAUAUUACUUUGCUGCUAAUUUCAAAAUGGCUGCAGGGCCAAAGUUUACGAGAUUGCAAUUCUCGUACGUAUGUGAAAGUGAGGAGUGGCUAUGAUAACAACAACAACAACAACAACAACAACAACUUGAACAAUAAUGUAGGAAAGCAAAUAAACUAAACAAAUUAGAUGUUGUGUAUGUGAUGUUCACAUAACUGCGACUGAAAUUGGAAUGUAUAUAUGGGUUUAAGUCAGAGUUUGAGAAUGAUAGGGAAUUUUAAAAAAUGAUAGGGAAAAAAAAAGGGACUCCUGAAAAAUGGGAGAAUGGUAAUUAUCAGAGAGGGACAAUGGAGAAAGUUUCAAAAAGUGAAGAGACUGAGAGCGGUUUUACGCACACAAACGCACGUGCGUGUAUACAUGUGUAUCUAUGUAUAUGUGUGUGUGUAUGUGUGUGUGAGUGUGUGUGAGUGUGUGUGUAUGAGUAUAUAUCACGGGUAUAUUAUAUAUAUAUAUACAUACAUAUAUAUAUUUAUAUAUAUAUAUAUAUAUAUAUAAAUAUAUAUAUAACUAUAUGCGUGGAGGAUAAGUUUAUGUGCAUGUGUAUAUGUGUCAGUAUAUAUCGCGAGUAUAUUAUGUAUGUGUGUGUGUGUGUGUGUGUGUGUGUGUGUGUGUGUGUGUCUGCAUGUGAGACAAAUUUGUGUAUGUGUCUGUAUGUCUGUUUACGCGCGCGCGCAUGUCUGAUAUAUAUAUAUAUAUAUAUGUGUGUAGAAAGUGGAGAUAUGGAGAUUGGGAUAAAUUUGGAAAAGAAAAUUGCCAUAUAUGAGUAAUGUGUCUAUUAAAUUUAUAUCUCUGAGAGAAGCAAGUGAGAUGUUGUGGUGUUUAUGCAUUAAUGAUUAUCUUUAUGUUGGAACAUGAAUACAAGUCGGAUUUUGACCUUUGUUUCGCUACAUUCCACUUCUGUUUGUCUACCAAAAGAGCCAUUAUCGACAAAGGUGAAACUACGUAAGCCAUUGAAAACGAAUUUAAUUGCUAUAGAUUGGCACAAAUGUCUAAGUUCAUUUCGCAAUCACUUGGCUUCCGGUUCGAUUCUACAACAUUCUUCUUCGAGCAAAUGUCGACUCAGUACUCGUGAGUGUUAUUGCACUGAAAGACUUUGUGCCGAUCUUCUCAAAUAUGUCCGAUCUGAGGCACGGAACAUGAUUCGCCGUCUUGUUUAAUAUCAACAACUAACAUCGGUCCACGAGUUUGAACCGCAGUAACUAGAUAUUUUGAGCUGCGUUCUACUGCAGUAAAACCUAUCAUUGUUUCGCUUGCCCCCUUUACCCCUACCUGUCUCGGGGCCACUGAAACAUGUCAUAUAAAGAUGUAGAACUAAUAACACGUUUCGUAGACAAUAGAUGAUCAUUAUUUGAUACGGAAUGGAGAGGACAAAAACAGGAAGUAAGGAAAUGUAUGCUGUGAUAGAUAGCUUUGGCAUGAAGGCACUGAAUAGACAUAAUGAAAGAUCGACAUAUAGCGAUUUAGAUACAGCGGAGAUGGAACUAAAAGUGAAUAGAGUUAGAAACCAUGGAGAGUAUUAUUCUAUAGACAAAUAGAUAAAGAGAUAAGUGUGUAUGGAACGGGGUAAGUAGGAGACAAAGAGAGAAAGGAAGAGUGCAUGUGUGUGUAUGUGUAUAUAUAUAUAUAUAUAUAUAUUAAUGUGUGUAUAUGUGAAUAGACAUAAAAGGAGAGGAGCUUUUAAUAUAAAAAUAUAUCAUGAAUUUUUCCCAUCACGUGACUUCGUUACUUAUUCCUGGACCAACACUCUAGCAAAUAUUCCUACCAAGUUUUUUGUUUGAAGAAACUUCAUGGUACCACUCUGGGAGGGUUUCAAGAAAUAUAUAAGACGUUUGUCUUCCUUUUAAAACCCUUAGCAAAAUCCUAACCAUUCUCACGACUUCACACACUUUAUAGCAGGGAUUUGUUCGUUAAUCACAAAAAGUACAACUUUCAUGUAGGUGGCGCUGGUCUGUCUCCAGGUAUAAGACAUUCAAAGAAAUAAUCCCGAUAACCUAACAAAGGUUGGCUCACUAUUUACACACUCUAGAUCUAAUCUGAUUGGAGAAAGAAACCGAAUACGUAUUUUCUGAGAAACGGGGAAGAAACCGUUAAACAGUCUGCCAGAGUACUAUCACCACAUUUUCCACAUAUCGAAAGCCUCAAAAAAUAUAUUUGCCUCCUUAUUUCACCCACAGUGAGACAUUGAAAUAUUUCCGUUUGUUUCUGUGCCCUUGAUGCAUGCUGUAUUUUGCAUAAAAUCUUGUUUCAUUAAUAACGAACCUUCAAAAGCAUAAAUAUGCUAAUUAGGUUCUCAUCUGCGAUGCUGCGUUAAUUAACGACUGUUCUAAGUAACCACAGAAGGGUUCUAUGGUAUUGAUGUGGAAAGAAGCAGGGUACACUUUCUCUGACGAGCGUUAAACAGACUUCAACAUAUAUUCAGAAAUGAUGCUGACGUUCCUAUAAUGCUGAGACAAUAUAGGAAUUUCUGUAAAACUGAUACACAUAAAUAAAUACGUGUUUGUGUAUACAUACAUAGGCGCAGGAGUGGAUGUGUGGUAAUUAGUUUGCUAACCAACCACAUGGCUCCGGGUUCAGUCCCACUGCGUGGCAUCUUGGGCAAGUGUCUUCUGCUAUAGCCCCGGGCCGACCAAUGCCUUGUGAGUGGAUUUGGUAGACGGAAACUGAAAGAAGCCUGUCGUAUAUAUGUAUAUAUAUAUAUAUGUGUGUGUGUGUGUGUUUGUGUGUCUGUGUUUGUCCUCCUAGCAUUGCUUGACAACCAAUGCUGGUGUGUUUACGUCCCCGUCACUUAGCGGUUCGGCAAAAGAGACCGAUAGAAUAAGUACUGGGCUUACAAAGAGUAAGUCCCGGGGUCGAUUUGCUCGACUAAAGGCGGUGCUCCAGCAUGGCCGCAGUCAAAUGACUGAAACAAGUAAAAGAGUAAAAGAUAAAUACAUAAUUAUCUACACAAACACACACAUAAAUACAUACAUAUAAAAGAACAUAAAUGGGGUUUAAAAUAUAUUAUAGCCGUUUCACUAGAAUAUUAUUGAUUUAUUCAGAGAUUACGUCAUAGCAUAAAAUUUACCAUCUUCAGGUAAAAUUUUUAUGAAGUAUAAACAGGUGAGGUAGUAUUUUGACGUUGACGAAUCCGAUCAACGGUAUUUAUUACACCUGUUUUAAAUCUGUUUAAAAUCUGGAGAUGGUGCAUUUUAUGCCAUGGUGUGAUCUAUGAAUACAGCAAUAAAAUUCAAUUUUAAUUCUCGUUUGUCUUCUGUUUUAUACCACGCCGCACCGAGAAACAGCCGUUAGUCCGAUCUACAGUUUAAAUUGGAUUUGAGAUCUAAAGCAUUCUACCCACACCCGGUAGCUCUGGGGUUGUUUUACUUCACUGUAAACCCUAUUUUAUUGUACCUAGCUAUUUCUGGCAUCCUAUGUGUUGAAGUGACUAGGGUUUCAUGAAUCUUAUAAUCUCUCUCUUUCUCUUUCUCUCUUUCUCUCUCUCUCUCUCUCUCUCUCUCUCUCUAGGGACUGCUACCAUCCACUGACCAUUCGAAAUACUACUAUCAUGGCACUUCCAAAUUAUUAUUAUUCUCCCCCCUUCUCCUCCUCCUCCUACUUCUUCUUUUUCUUCUUCUUCUUCCCUACCAAAAAUUUACAACGACCUCGAUCCCACAAGAGUAAACAAGAGAGACAGAGACAGGCAGAAAAAAAGGAAAAUCCCACUUGUAUUUGAAAACUAUACAAAUAUUCUUUUAAAAAAAUACUUUUCUUUUAAAUUUUUCUAAAUUUAACUAUUUAAUUGUUACAGUUGAAAAAGUCUCAAUGACUGAAACCGGUACUGAAAUGUUUUUCAUAAAAUUAUUUUAGCAUUUUCUAUCUUGACUUUUUUUCCAUAUAUAUAUAUAUAUAUAUAUAUAUAUAUAUAUAUUAGAUAGAUAGAUAGAGAGAGAGAGAGAGAGAGAGAGAGAGAGAGAGAGAGAGAGAGAGAGAGAGAGAGAGAGAGAGAGAGAGAGAGUGUGUGUGUGUGUGUAUGCUUGUGUACAUGUAGCUUGAAGCAAUUAUAACCUCACUGAAAAAACUUGAGGGAAUUUAAACAAAGUCCCGUUCAGUGUGCGUGCUGUUGGUCAUUCAUUUCGUCAAAGUUUUUGGCAAUGAAGAACCGGCCACUUCCUGGAAAUAUAUAUUCGCUAUGUCGGGCCGAUUGCUAGUUGAAGAAUUUCACUUCAACACACUCCAUAACACCAUUAUUUUCUGCUUGGUUGGGACGUUUCACACUUCUCAGCCGCCAUACUUUCUUCGUUAUUUUAUGACACGACUCAAAAUUUUAUAGAUUAAACGAUAACAAUGUCGCCUUCACAUGAGCAAUAAGGAUUUCUGCUUUUAAAUAUUUGCAACUAAAACCAUGAAUAUGAUUUACAUUUAAAUGUUUUUAUAGAAGUCUUUGAUUGUUUUGGUUAUUCCGUCGUUAUUAUACAAUAAAUUGCUGACCUACAUAAUGUGACCCAGUUUUUAAUGGUCUUAGGGCUGGGAUCAUAUGUUUAUUUUGGCGGUUGUUACAGCUGACUGUUUUCUCGUAACUUUAGAGCAAGAAUCUUAGGAACGCCGUCUGUGUUUUUCUUUCUUUUACGUUACCAUUUCCUGUCUUGAAACGUUUGAACUUGUGGCAUUAAGUUCUUUUCAGCAAUCAAAACACUUUUUUAGGUUUUGUUUUUGUUUUAUUUUUGUUUUAUUCUUUUUUUCAAAUUUCACUAUUGUCAGUCAUUGAACUGGAAUCGGGAGGUGGGGGCAGACUCUGAAAGAGAAAGAAAAAGUAUAAGGAGAGUGAAAAAAAAGAAAGUUAAACAAAAAGAGUGAGUGGAAGGAGAAGAGGUAGAGAAAUGGGGUGAAAGAAAAGAGAGAGAGAGGGAGAGAGAGAUUGUUUAUCAUUGAUGUUUAACCACAGGUCAGUCUGAAUAGUACAAAACUGUGGUGAAAUCCAUUUAAACGACAACAAUCCGAUAUUUCUGUCCAACAAUAGGCGUUCUCAUCCACGCUUCUACGAGUCUUUCCAUUUCGUACAUUUCCAGACAUUUGGGUGUGAUUUUGGAAAGUUUUGCCUGUUGUUUCUAGCAAAUCGAUUAACCGCUUAGAUCUGUGCGUCCCUGUCUUUUUCCUCCCCUUUUCGUGGGGUUAGUUUGUUGGAGGUCGGUUGGCAUCGAGGUAUGAAGGGUGGAAUGGAUAAACGGGUGCAUAGGUUGGUGAUUCUGUGCAUUAAUGAGUAGCGAAGAGUUGAGGGAGAACACAAAAUUGUGAAACUAUAAAGAGAAAGUGAAAAUCAGAGGGAGGGAGAGAGGGUGAGAGGGUAGAGAGAUAGCGGAGACAGAGAGAGAGGGGGAGACAGAUAGGGGAGACAGAGAGAUAGGGGAGAGAAUGAGGCAGUCAGAGAGAGAAUGACUAAAAAUAUUAUGAAAAAAAUUAGGUAAAUAGCGAUGAAAGAGAAAUGUUGAGAAUGUGAGAGAAAUAAUAUGAAUAAAGAAAUAAAUGACGAAAUGAGGAAAUGAGAGAAGGGGGAAGAGGAUGGAGAAGAGAGAGAGGGAGAGGAAAGAAGAGAAAGAGAAGGAGAGUGAGAAAUAAAUGGGGGAAAAUGGCAUUGUUAAUAAAGAGAGAUGUGGUUGGUGUAUUAUGAGCAACGGAAUUAUGAAGUAAUUCGAGAAACAAGGAACGACGGGAACAAAUUAGAUUUACCAACACGUAAAACUGAUCAGUCAGCAAAUUUUAUUCCAUAGCAAUCGUUCAUUCUUCAUUCUUUUCCCUCUUUCUUCCUCCCCCCACCUCUCUCCCCUCUUUUUCCCGCCAUUUCCUUUUCUAUCAAUCAUAUUUCCCUAGAAAUCAUUUUCCCCUUCCUAUUUGUUUAUUAAUCUCAUUUUCACACUUUAUUCUUUCUUUAUAUAUUUUCUUUCGUCUUUUUUUCUUUCCCUUAUUUUCUUUUGCUAUUCAUUGUUUUUUUUUUCUUCCUCUCCGGUUUUACACUUUAUUUUCCUUCCGUUCUUUUUCUCUUUCUCUUUCCUAUUUCUUUCUCUCCUUCGUCCUUUUAUUUAUUUAUUACAUUUUCCAUGUUUUCUUCUCUUCCAUAACUUCUAUCGUUUUCAUUUAUUCUCCCCAAAUUUCAUUCUUUUCCUUUCCUCGUUACUUGUUAUGUAACAAGUUACCUCAAUUACAUCUUCUUUUAUUUAUUUAUUUAUUUCAUUCUUUCUUCAGUCCACAAUUUCCUUCUCUAUUCUUCAAUAUUUCUUUUUCAUGCCCUUAUGUUCUCUCUUUCUUUCUUUCUUUCUUCUUAAUCACUCUUUUAUUGGUUCUUUCGUUUUUGUUCGGCGUCUCAUUCAUUUCUAUCAUUAUAGACAUUUGCUGAACCAUAAUUGACAUUAAAAAUGUUGAUAAGCUAAGGUGACAGCUAACACGGUUUAUUACCUCUUCUCAUACACAAAACCAUAUACUCUAUCAUAGACACACAUAUAAACACAUUGGCAAGGAGACCGGUCCACAUUUAAAUCAAUGGGUCAUUGGUAGUUCGUCCAUGCAUCCAGCCAAAUAAACUAAAGGAAAAACAAAAUCAACAAAUAUCAGAUUGGUGCAAGACAAGAAAUUGCUAAAGAAGAGAUAGGGUGAGAUUUAUUGCCAAGAAGCGAACUUAUAAUAAAAAAGGGGAAACUGUCUGCUAUUCGCUUGACCUUUGAUUUAGAAAAUGAAGGGCACACACACAAAACCAUUUACUGAACCACGAAGAAAUGUAGACGAUGAGAAGACACAUGGUUUAUUGUCACAUCAGCAAAUCGGUCUGACUUGAAUGGACUGGAGAUCACUCUAGGUGUUCUAGAACGAGAUAGGUGUACUAAAGUGGCUGUCAGUAAAUACAGUAAAUUGGAGGUAGUCAGUAAAACAGUAAACACAAAUCAUCCGACGUUUUCCACACAGUUUCCAUCAAUGGAGUUUCUAAAACAAGGCUUCAGUCGAAUCUUCUUCUUCUUCUUCCUCUUCUUCUUCUUCUUCUUCUUCUUCUUCUUCUUCUUCUUCUUCUUCUUCUUCUUCUUCUUCUUCUUCUUCUUCUUCUUCUUCUUCUUCUUCUUCUUCUUCUUCUUCUUCUUCUUACAGUAUUCACCCGGGGUGGGUUGAGCUGGCUUCAUUUAUCCUCAAUGCUGCAUCUCUCACAAACGCCGACCAGGCCUGGCGAUUUGAGGCUAACGACCGCGUGAUCUCCAACCACUCCUUAUUCCAGCGGUGAACGCCAUAGAUAUGGGGGUCUAGAUUGGGUUCCAGAUCUGCCUUGACCGUCAUCAGCCAGGUUUUUCUUUGUCCACCACAUCGCUUUCGCCAACACUGAAGGGGAGCUGGGGCAAUUGCUUCGUUGAUGAAUUCUCCUGGCUGACGACGGAAAUAUUCCUUGAGUCGAAUCAAGGCUACAGCAGAACACAAAUACACUCUGUACAUGAGAGUAAACCUCUUGAUCCUGUCUGUGCUCAUAAUAAAUUCAUGUGAAUAAAAUAAUGAAAGAAAAAAAGGGUAUGUGAGGUGGGGAUAAUGUAAAUAUAAAUUGAAAAGCAAAUGAGAAAUUUUAAGCAAUAUUUCAAGAAAAUAUGAACAUUUAUGAAAAUAGCGUUGAGCCUAGGAACAACAAUGGGAAGAACGAAUAUAAAUAUUAUGAUAUAUUGGUUUAAAAAUUUGGCACAGGGUCGGCAAUUUUAGUAUAGGGUUAAGUCCAUUAGAUUAACCCCUGUACUCAACUGAUACUUAUCUCCUCAACAUGGGAAAUAAUGAAAUCAAACUGGAAUUUGAGCGCUGGACGUAAAGAUGGACGAACCACCGCUAAGCAUUUUGCUAGGAAUGCUAACGAUUCUGCCAGCUCACCGUCUUUAAGGUAUCAUAACAUAUUAAAACAACAACAGCAGCAACAAUAACAAAAAAAAAGCAACGGCAACAACAGGGACAACUUUGUCAUCAUCUGCAACAACGAUCCAUUAAAGGGGUUUCAAAGGGGUUGAAUGAAUUGGUAGAACUACCCUGAAAUCACAAGGGUCUGUCAAAAACGUGAAAAGAUACAUAAGAUAAUGUAGGCCAAAAUACGUCAUGUCUCAAACUAAAACCGUAUGGACACGACUUGCAUUAAACAUGUGAAUAUUAGGAAUGGUUUAAGAAACAAAGAUAUUGAGAGAACCGAUGGCUGGAAACAAUAGAAACAGAUAAAUGAGGACAUGGAGGUCCCAAUAGGAUUUUGUAGAAAUAUCACGCGUUCAAAUAACAUAAUCGUCAACGUUACAACAGCGUCCAAUUGUAUUAGUAGGCAGAUAUUUUAUAAAAUAAUGUUAAUGAGUUUUAAUUGUUAAUAAUAAUAAUAAUAAUGAUGAUGACGAUGAUGAUGAUGAUGAUGAUGAUGAUGACGAUGACGAUGACGAUGACGAUGAUGAUGACGAUGACGGUGACGAUGACGAUGAUGAUGAGGAUGAUGAUGAUGAUGAUGAUGAUGAUGAUGAUGAUGAUGAUGAUGAUGAUGAUGAUGAUGAUGAUGAUGAUGAAAGAUUCCUUUGAGAGUACCGAAUCAUUAGAUGUUUUGGAUGGCAACUUGGAAUGUAUAGAUAUGGUCUGUUGUGGAGGAUUUAAGAUAAACACAGUCUGAAUGUGGUAAGUUAGAAUCGAUGUGGGCAGCAAUUUAUCACUUUAAUAGAAAAACUUAAAUGCAGGUUACUUAAAUCCAAAUACUUUCUUUGUUAUUCACAAACAGGCAGACAGACAGAUACACACACAUAUAUAUAUAUAGAGAAAAUAUUCAUAUGUAUACAUAUACAUACACGUGGAGGCGCAAUGGCCCAGUGAUUAGGGCAGCGAACUCGCGGUCGUAGGAUCGCGGUUUCGAUUCCCAUGCCGGGCGUUGUGAGUGUUUAUUGAGCGAAAACACCUAAAAGCUCCACGAUGCUCCGGCAGGGGGUUGUGAUCCCUGCUGUACUCUUUCACCACUCUUU